rnacentral:rRNA from 1 species
AUCAGCCAUGCCGCGUGUGUGAAGAAGGCCUUUUGGUUGUAAAGCACUUUAAGCGAGGAGGAGGAGCUCUUGGUUAAUACCCAAGAUGCUUGGACGUUACUCGCAGAAUAAGCACCGGCUAACUCUGUGCCAGCAGCCGCGGUAAUACAGAGGGUGCAAGCGUUAAUCGGAUUUACUGGGCGUAAAGCGCGCGUAGGUGGCCAAUUAAGUCAAAUGUGAAAUCCCCGAGCUUAACUUGGGAAUUGCAUUCGAUACUGGUUGGCUAGAGUAUGGGAGAGGAUGGUAGAAUUCCAGGUGUAGCGGUGAAAUGCGUAGAGAUCUGGAGGAAUACCGAUGGCGAAGGCAGCCAUCUGGCCUAAUACUGACACUGAGGUGCGAAAGCAUGGGGAGCAAACAGGAUUAGAUACCCUGGUAGUCCAUGCCGUAAACGAUGUCUACUAGCCGUUGGGGCCUUUGAGGCUUUAGUGGCGCAGCUAACGCGAUAAGUAGACCGCCUGGGGAGUACGGUCGCAAGACUAAAACUCAAAGGAAAUUGACGGA